rnacentral:rRNA from 1 species
GAGCGGUAGAGAGAAGCUUGCUUCUCUUGAGAGCGGCGGACGGGUGAGUAAUGCCUAGGAAUCUGCCUGGUAGUGGGGGAUAACGUUCGGAAACGGACGCUAAUACCGCAUACGUCCUACGGGAGAAAGCAGGGGACCUUCGGGCCUUGCGCUAUCAGAUGAGCCUAGGUCGGAUUAGCUAGUUGGUGAGGUAAUGGCUCACCAAGGCGACGAUCCGUAACUGGUCUGAGAGGAUGAUCAGUCACACUGGAACUGAGACACGGUCCAGACUCCUACGGGAGGCAGCAGUGGGGAAUAUUGGACAAUGGGCGAAAGCCUGAUCCAGCCAUGCCGCGUGUGUGAAGAAGGUCUUCGGAUUGUAAAGCACUUUAAGUUGGGAGGAAGGGCAUUAACCUAAUACGUUGGUGUCUUGACGUUAC